UACUCUAUCCAGUGUUAAAAGUAAGGUGUUGAAGUUCCCUACUAUUAUUGUAUUGCUAUCUACUUCUCCUUUGAGUUCUGUUAAUAUUUACUUUAAAUAUUUAGGUGCUUCAAUGUUGGGUGCAUAUAUACUUAUAAUUGUUAUAUCUUCUUGAUGAAUUGACUCCUUUUGUCAUGUUAAUUUUAGAAUGACAAUUAUACAUCCAACUGAAGUGUAAAUAUUCUAUACUCACAUAUUGUUAACCCAAUCAUAGACAUACAAUCAGGAAUGUAGGACAUAUGGGUUUAGACUUCAGAAUAAAGGUCUGGAUAAAGAAGAUAUAUUUGGCAGUUAUAUCCAUGUUGAUGAUUUUUAAAGCCACGAGACUAAAUUUUACCACCUUUAGAGGUAUAUAGAUAGAAGAGGGAAGAGGUUUGAAGAAUGAGCACUGAACCACUAUACUAUGUACAGAUUGGGGUAUAUGGAAAGAGAACACCAAAAAAAUAGGAGGAGAACCAAGAGGAAGUGGCAUCCUAGAAAGCUUGCAAAGAAAAUGUCUCAAAGUGGAAGUGAUCAAUUGUAUUAAAAGCUUAUGAUAGCUAAGAUAAAGACUGAGAAUUUACCAUUGCAUAUAGCAAUUGUGGGGCAAUUGGUGACCUGAUAUAAGCAGUUUCUAUUAAGUGUUAAUAGCAAAAACCUACUUGAAAUAGAUUAAAUAGAAAAGAAAGCUCAGAACAGAAAAUUAAGUUUCGCAACAGUCUGGGAUAAAGAAAUGAGGUAAUAAUUGAAUAAGAGUAUGGAACCAAGACGUUUUUUUUUUUAAACUGUUAUAAUAUGUUUGUAUGCUAAUAGUAAUAAUCUAGGAGAAAGGAAAAAUGAUAAUGAAAAAGAUGGAAGAGGGAUAAAUGUUGGAGUGAUGUCUUUGAGUAGGUAGAGGGUAUCAGACCUAGAGACAAGAGGAAGCAUUAGACUUUGAGAAGAGCAUGGACCAUUCUUUUCUAACAUCAAAAAGAAAGGCAGAUUUAAGCAGAUAUGAUGAUGAGAGCUUGAAAAUUGUCUCUAAUGAUCUCAUCCCUCUUUUCACAGAAAUGGGAAGCAAGCUCAUCAGCUGAGGGGAGAUGGUGUUGAAGGUUUAACGACAGAGAAGACAUGGAAUGAUUAAGCUGGCUUUUCCAUGUUGUUGCUGUCCUUCUGAUCCACUCUGGGAGAGAACAAAGUCACCAAUGCUCAGUGAAGAUCCUGCUACUUGGUUUAACUACAUUUCUCAGAUGAAUGGUGGGUACAAAAAGGAAUAACAAUGGAGGAGGACAAACAAACAAAAGAUGACUUCUUAGGACUUCUAAGAUAUAAAGGCCUCAUCCUUCUAUAAGAAUUAUUCUCCCAAGAAAGAGGAGCACGAUUGCCACCAGAGAAAGAGGAGGAUAUGAUAUAGAAGCCAUGGUGCACAGGGUAGGGAAGUGGAAAACUGGGAGGGGAGAAAGGACAGGAAAUGAGAAAAGGGCAGGAAAAUGUAUGUGCUUGUCUUUCUUCCACCUUAGAGGUUAAUCUGCAAGGGAGAGAAAGUAGAUAUACUGAAAUACAUUCUGAAGUUCCUCAAACGUGGCACAUCACAGAGAAGUUCUACACUCAGCCUGGGGUAGCAUGUUAGAGAGCAUUGACAGAAGAAGAUUCUAGAUGGAUGGGCCAUGACAUCCCAUGAUCUUCAUGUGCCAAGGGGAGGUCCAAAGUUCCUGAUGAACCCGCGAGGAAUGCAGAAGUGCUGAGAAAAUGCUGGGUCUGAAGAUGCCUCAGGACCAAGGGAACCCCCCGCUCCUGACAGAAGGUCCAAAAGAGGUGGAGCUUGUGACCCAGUGAAGGAGACACAUGUGUCAACAAAUCCGGUGCAGUAAAUGAUACAACUGAGGCAGGUUCGCAGUGUGGAAGAAACAUAGAACAAGAUUAAAUGGUUGGUUUUCUCAGGGUAGACGAUGUUCUAAUCAGACCCUGAAAGAUGAGAGUUUUCAUAGGUAGACUUCACUUGUCCCUGUGCUGAGGUGUCUCCCUGUGGAAUUCUUGCCAUUUAAGUCUCCUGAAAUCCCUCAUAUCAAACAUCACCUACUUCAUGAAAAUUUUUCUUAUUCUUCCCACCAGAUUUGAUUUCUCCUGUUUCCUAAUUUUCAUGGCACUCUCGACUUAGUAUCUGGGAAAUUCUCUGGAAAAUUCUCUCAGAUGGGAGAGACCUUAGCCAGAUUCUUCUGAACUGUGUUCAUUUUCAUAGUUGCUGAUCAAUAGCUCUGUAACAAAUGUCUAGUCAUAGGUAAUGUGAAAUAGCUAGCCUAGAACAUAUAAAUUAGUUUUCACAGUGAAGCUGAUUUUGCCUCUUCCGUCUCCAUCUUCUUUAGUCUUGCCAAGGGGAGAUUUGAUGAUAAAUAAGUUGUGAAAAAUAGAUUCCAGCUCAUGUCCUGUCCUUACAGUGUCUCAGAGGAUUUUCGUGGUUACUUUAUGAGGUAGGUACUAUUAUCCCCAUUUUAUAGAUGAGGAAGGAGAAACUCAGAAAUUUUAAGGCACUUGUCAAAUAUCACACAGCUGAUAAAUGGGAGCACUAAGAUGAAAUCAAAUUUGUCUGAUCCUGAAGCACAAAUUGUAUCUUGAUGAACAAAUGACAUCUUAAUGGAGAGCAUCUCCAGAGAUUACAGGUUUUACUGGGAGAUAAAGUUAGACACAAUUCUGACUUGCUUUGGUGAUCAAAAUUGGUUUAUUCCAGUCUAAAUCAGGUCACUAGGAGAUGGUAAAACUUGAUUAUUCCAUGGAAAAGAGACCUACCAUGGUAAAUUGUCAGGAAGAUUGUAUGUACAGAAAUAUUUGAAAACAAGGUGAGAGGGAUAUAUUUUUCUGUUUAAGUGUGGAACGCAAGAUAGAGACACCAAUGAACAAAAUGUAACAAAAUAUUCAGGUAGUGGGCUUAGCUCUGGAAAGUACAGGCUGCUCCAAUCAGUGCCACUGAUUACCACAAACAUUUCUUACAAAUGUGUCUGAUAUGCAAGUUUCUCCUUCAUUCUAUGCCACUAGUGACAUUAUUAAGUAAUAAAAAAAUGUUUGGUUGAAAAUGGA